rnacentral:rRNA from 1 species
UUCAGUUUGCUUGCAAACUGGAGAUGGCGACCGGCGCACGGGUGAGUAACACGUAUCCAACCUGCCGAUAACUCGGGGAUAGCCUUUCGAAAGAAAGAUUAAUACCCGAUGGUAUAAUCAGACCGCAUGGUCUUGUUAUUAAAGAAUUUCGGUUAUCGAUGGGGAUGCGUUCCAUUAGGCAGUUGGUGAGGUAACGGCUCACCAAACCUUCGAUGGAUAGGGGUUCUGAGAGGAAGGUCCCCCACAUUGGAACUGAGACACGGUCCAAACUCCUACGGGAGGCAGCAGUGAGGAAUAUUGGUCAAUGGGCGCAGGCCUGAACCAGCCAAGUAGCGUGAAGGAUGACUGCCCUAUGGGUUGUAAACUUCUUUUAUAUGGGAAUAAAGUUUUCCACGUGUGGAAUUUUGUAUGUACCAUAUGAAUAAGGAUCGGCUAACUCCGUGCCAGCAGCCGCGGUAAUACGGAGGAUCCGAGCGUUAUCCGGAUUUAUUGGGUUUAAAGGGAGCGUAGGUGGACAGUUAAGUCAGUUGUGAAAGUUUGCGGCUCAACCGUAAAAUUGCAGUUGAUACUGGCUGUCUUGAGUACAGUAGAGGUGGGCGGAAUUCGUGGUGUAGCGGUGAAAUGCUUAGAUAUCACGAAGAACUCCGAUCGCGAAGGCA